CUAUCGUUAGACCCUAAUCACUUGGCACUUGCCAUGGAAGCUCUUUAGCUAGGUUUCUCGGAUCGAUCCAUUCCUCCAUGGCGUCGCUCGAUCACAGGGAAGCACGGCGAGCACAGGUGCGCUGGGCUAGAAUCGAGGGGCUGAGCCCGGUGUUGCCGAUUCCACGCGAUAAUCUGGGCCUCGGCGGUGCUGGAUUGGGAUUCGCGAGCAUCAGCUUGUUUGGACGCCGCAAGCAAGAGAAUGCGGGCCGGGAGGAGGCUGCUCCGGCUCAAGCGGUGCCAUACUCGCCCAAGCGCGGGACGUAUGCGCAUGACGCUCUACAGCGGAGGUUUAAGGAGCUGGACAAGCAAAACGCUGGGCACAUAAGCGAGAAUGAUCUGAAAGCGGUGCUCAAGAGCCUCAAUCUCCCAUCGUCGGAAGAGAAUGUUCAAGAGUUUCUCGAUUCGCUUGGUGGCAAUACUGUGCCAUUUGAUCAGUUCGCGGAGUACGCUGUUAGCCGAGAAAACCUCCUGUUUGAUACCUUCAGAGAGCUCGACAAGAAUAACACAGGAUACCUUACUACGAACGAAAUAAAAGCCGCGUUGGUGAAAUACAAGUUCCGGUUUUCGGACAGUGAUCUGCAAGCACUUGCUCGGACCUACAGCAAAGUUGGUGCUGGUCCUUUUGAUGAAAACCAGCUCUUUGAUUUUGCUGAUUACAGGAAUUGCUUGAUGGCGUACAGUCAAAAGGAUCUGAUAGACGCGGAUCAAGUUUGGGCUCGAGCUGCGAUAGAUGUAGGGGACGUGGAUACAUCUUUCCCUCUUAUAUCUGCGAAGAAAGGAAAAGCUGGCGACCUCCUCCUGUCGAAGGACAAGAUAUUGAAGCAUUUGUCUCUUGGUGUGCUUGCCUCCGCAGUAACGAGGACGCUCGUGGCACCUCUGGAACGUGUGAAGCUUCUCUCAACGGUGGAUUCCAAUAUUGCUUUUGGGAAGGCUUUCGAAGAAAUCCGGAAGGACGAGGGGUUUCAAGGACUUUUUAGAGGCAACUUACUGAAUGUGGCCCGCGUGAUUCCAACCAGGGUCGUGGAGUUCCUUGUUUAUGACAAACUUAAAGAAACGCUGCUGAGUAAAAGAAAGCAGUCAGAAAUUUCUAAUUUCGAUCGCUUACUUUUGGGGACGUUUGCUUCUAUGGCUGGUGUUAUUGCCGGGUAUCCUCUGGAUACCAUGAGAACGGUUCUAGCGUCACAAUUACCAAACAGGCAUGUGGACGACUUGAUGGUAAAAUCUGCUUUGGACAAUGGCGGAUUUCUAAACUUGUACAGAGGCCUUAUACCCAACUUGGCGAGGGCAGUACCAUAUACUCUGAUAACUUUCACUGUAUUUAAUCAUUUGCAAGAACGUCAUAGACAAAAGACUGGUCCUGGUGGCGAGAUUAAAACUUCCGUGGAUGCUUUAUUCGGGAUAGUGGCGGCUACGGCGGCACAGACCCUGGUGCAUCCUCUCGAAGUGGUUCAACGGAGGUUGCAGGCUGAGACUGCAAAGCAAGGAGUACUGGUAUACAAUAACAUGAUAAAUGCUUUCCAAGUUAUCCUUGAAAAGGAGGGUGUAAAUGGCCUUUAUUCAGGGUUGGCCGCAAGCUAUGUCAAAAUUGUUCCUGCGACUGCGAUCUCCUUACUCCUGUAUAAAGCGCUCAAAGAAAAGCUCGACGAUAGGCAGAGGCGAUAAGGUUUGGCGAGUCACGUGUUCACUGUUUUAGCUGCUUCCAUUGUGGAAACUACUUAUUGAACCACAGCUUCCGAAAACAGUUUGAACGACUUGAUUAGUCACACGACUUGGGAGCCUGAAAAGGAAGGCCUUCAGAUUUGCUCCUGCAACUAGCAAAGUCACCUGGUUCUAUAUCCACAAGACCAUUAGAAGUAAAGCUCACGUACUCAAUGAGCUUAUCUCUCCGGUAUGCGCCUGUACUUCUUUUGGUUUUUGCACGCGAUCUUUGUGUCUUGUGCAACGUUUGUACAUUGUUUAAGACGGUUCUCUGACGAAAAGUUGCACAAGGCAUGACGAUUGCGAGAUGUUUCGAAGGCUAGAGCAUAGGCUUGCUGGUAGUGGUCGGCAAUGGUGAUCUGGAGGAGAGUAUUCUAAGAUGAUCGCGGCUGGCUGGUGACAAUAGUUCCCGCGGCUAGAUAGGCAGGAAGUUGAAGCGUCACGCUUGAGAGUUCCGGGUAGCAGAAGGAACACAGGGACAUUGUUGGGGCUGCAUAUGGACAGGAUCAAUCAGGGAAAAGCUAGCUAGCAGCAAAGCGAGCUGUGGUACCGUCGAAAUGAGAAGUUGGCGAAAUGUGAGGAAGAAGGGUCGUCCAACAGAAGGGACGUAUCAAAGUCCGGGAAAAUGGAAAGACCCAAGGAAAAGGAAGGCGGAGGCAGCCACGCGUUGGACAUAGACUGGAAAUUCCAAUGAAUGCGCGUGUUGGGCGUCUCCAGACAACGACGAGGACGUUGAUAAGUUAAAUCAAUAUGAAGUACCAGGUAGCAAGCAAGCCAAGCAGAAGAGGCAGGGGGAGAGGAAAAUCACAAGAGAAAUGAUAAGCUCCGCGAUUAGAAGGCUGAUGGUGGUGCAUUUGGUGACGAGGAAAGGAGGCAGCAGAGUAGCAGCAGUAGCAGUGGCAGAAACAGCAGUAGCAGAGCAGCAACUCAUCAGGCACAGACCACCUCUUUAGUGUUUUUCUUUUAUGCUGUUCUUGCUGGCUAUGGUGGGGAGAGGUGGGAAGCUUGGGGAAGUGUCACAUACAUAGGGAAGAGAAAGAACAGAUGAAGGAUUGAAGAAGAGGAGGCUGCUGUUGUACUAGACACACUCUAGUACAGAGGUUUGGACAGGAGGUCAUAAUUAGCAUCAUAUGAAUUCCCAUCUCAUGCAAGGAAAAACAGCAGCAUUUAGUA